GGCCGCUUAGCUCAGCUGGUUAGAGCAUUGUACUAAUACGACGAGCGUAUUAGCCUGAUAUGCAAAGGUCGGCAGUUCGAUCCUGUCAGUGGUCA
rfam:Trichosporon oleaginosus strain IBC0246 unplaced genomic scaffold CC85scaffold_2, whole genome shotgun sequence.